GAUGAACGCUAGCGGCAGGCCUAAUACAUGCAAGUCGAGGGGUAGAGAAGAGCUUACUUUUCUUGAGACCGGCGCACGGGUGCGUAACGCGUAUGCAACCUACCUUUAUCAGGGGGAUAGCCUCUCGAAAGAGAGAUUAACACCGCAUAAAAACACAGUACGGCAUCGUACAAUGUUCAAAUAUUUAUAGGAUAAAGAUGGGCAUGCGUGACAUUAGCUAGUUGGUGAGGUAAGGGCUCACCAAGGCGACGAUGUCUAGGGGAUCUGAGAGGAUGACCACCCAAACUGGUACUGAGACACGGACCAGACUCCUACGGGAGGCAGACGUCAGGAAUAUUGGUCAAUGGGGGCGACCCUGAACGAGCCAUGCCGCGUGCAGGAAGACGGCCCUACAGGUUGUAAACUGCUUUUAUACGGGAAUAAACCCCUUUACGUGUAAAGGGUUGAAUGUACUGUAAGAAUAAGGAUCGGCUAACUCCGUGCCAGAAGCCGCCGUAAGAC
rnacentral:rRNA from 1 species